UUUAUCUUUCUCUUCAAUGGUAA
rnacentral:snRNA from 1 species